rnacentral:sRNA from 1 species
CCCUGAUUGAGAAAUCCGCGCGCAGCCUCCGCCGCUGCACACUGCGGCCUCUGCUGAACCCCUGCCGCGCCGCCGCCUUCGCCAGUCCGGACCGGACCGGCCCGCGUUCCCUUCCUCCGCUCCAGCCGGCCUCCGGCCCCGCAACCUCCUCCUCGGCGAAGUCUCCCUGGCCGCCCCAUGUCGGCCGCCCCCGCCUACAGCGAAGACAAGGGCGGCUCCGCUGGCCCCGGGGAGCCCGAGUACGGCCACGACCCCGCGAGCGGCGGCAUCUUCUCCUCCGACUACAAGCGGCAUGAUGACCUGAAGGAGAUGCUGGACACCAACAAGGAUUCUCUCAAGCUGGAGGCCAUGAAGAGGAUUGUGGCGAUGAUUGCCCGAGGAAAGAAUGCUUCAGACCUGUUUCCCGCGGUGGUGAAGAACGUGGCCUGUAAGAACAUAGAGGUGAGCACUACCUGGUGAGGGAUUGCUUGUCCCCACCUCCCCCAGGACCAAACUCAAGCUUGGGGUGAGGAAGGAAAUGAUUUAGCCCCUGGGGGCCCGACCUGCUGAGAAAUGUCUCUGAGCCAGGAGAAGACACUGUCUCCAUGUCCCUGAACUGGAUGUGGAUCAAGGUAAAGGACCUGGAUACACUCAGGGGUGCUCUCCCCCACUGGGAGAGUUUGUCCUCAUGGACCGCAGCUGGAUGGGGAGAUGACAUCCCAGGGGUAGGGGGGUGGGCACAGGUGCCUGCUGAGAAGCGUUCUGCUGAGAAACGUGCUCUCCCCAAGGUGAAGAAGCUUGUCUACGUGUACCUGGUACGCUACGCUGAGGAGCAGCAAGACCUGGCCCUGCUGUCCAUCUCCACCUUCCAACGUGGCCUAAAGGAUCCCAACCAGCUGAUUCGUGCCAGUGCCCUCCGUGUCCUCUCUAGCAUCCGUGUGCCCAUCAUAGUGCC